CCAGCGGAUCGGAUCUAGCCUGAAGAGUGACUGUCCGGAAAACAAAACCAGACCCGAUGUCGGAGUAGGAUUCCCAUCUACCAGUAGCUAACCUAUCACUGCUAAUUCAAUCAAGUAAAAGAACAUUACAAGCCAGAAAGAAAGGAAAGGUGGUUGCUGUGAGGCGGAAAAAGAAGAUCACUGUGAAACUGAGCCAGUACCAACCAAACCACCUUGAAUGUUAGGGAUGGGAUAGCUAGCUGAUUGAAUAGACUAGCUACCUCCCAAUCAGGUAGACCAGACAGGCAAAGAGCCGCCUCCUUUGAGCCUACCGUCCUACCGCCCCUUCUCCUAUACCUGGCUGCUUCUCGCUCACCAAAGCAUACUUCGUUCGUUUCCCGGGACGAGCGGCUCCUUCUUUCUUCCUUCUAAUUGAUAAGAAAGCGGUUUUUCUUUUCCCUAUCUUCCCUGACCUUAGAUGGAUCAAGAAAUGCUUAAGGAAAAGGCGCCCUAGAAGCUGACGCGUCAGUCCGC